AUGGACGGGUCUAAAUCUAAUGCUGAAGAAGAUGACUAUCAUGUGAUAGGAGAUCUAAGAUCACCAAAGAUUCCAAGGAGAAGUCCUGAUGGUUCCAAGGAUAGGGAUUUUGAUAGGAGGGAGAGAGAGGACAGGAAAGGUUGGGACUCUUCAAGAAGUGAAACUUCUGCAGACAUGGCUGAUACAAGAGAUGGUGGUUAUUCUUCUGACCAUAAUAAGCACGGCAGGGAAACAGAGAUGAUCCACGACCACGCAGAUGAGUCGGGAGGAAUUAGAAAAGGUGUAGACUCUAGUAGUUCAAGGGGCGGGAGAUCCGAUGAGGAUAUCAAUGAGAGGAGGGGAUCUGCUAUGGCUGAGAACAUCAAUGAAGAUAGCAGAUCAGUGGAUCAAAGUCAUCAAAAGGAAGAGAUUCUUGGGCAUACAGUGGAGUACGGACAUGAAAGCAAGGGUGGUGUGGAAAAAGUGGAGACAUCACCCAGAGUGGGUAACGAUGGAUGGGAGUCAUCAGGGGAUAGAAGGAAUAGAGACGCUCCACCUUCACAAAUACCAGAUACACCAGACAGAGGGAGAGACAGCAGUUGGAAUGUGAAAACACAAGAGGUUGAAGGAUCUGAGCAGUACAGUAGGAGCCGUCAAUUGCGAGAUCCUAAAGAGGCAAAUGUUUCUGAAUGGAGGAGCACACAGGAAAGGUUAGAUGGCACGAGUUUUCAUGGUCGGGCUGGGUACCGGCAGGAUUCCAGGGGUAGAUCUGAAAGUUUCAGAGGUUCUUCAACCUAUGGAAAUCGGUAUGACAGGUCUGAUUCAAUAGAGAUCAGGCCAAAUAGCAAUUUUGAUUUUGGGCGAGAAGGCUCUGUUUCUGGAAGAAGAUCUGAUGUGGGAGCUCCUGGAACGACUGAUGAUAGUAGUACCAAUCAUCCUGAAGCAGAUCAAAGUGGUGGCACCAGCAUGGUUUCUCCAUUUACUCAGCAAGGGCCUAAAGGUGAUAGAUCCUCUAGAGGAAGGGGGAGGCCAAAUGGAAGGGAUUCUCAGAGAAUUGGAGUUCCGGUGCCACUUAUGCCGCCACCUUCAUUUGGUGCACUCACCCUGCCACCAGGGCAAAUGCAACACAUGGGGCCAAAUAUUCCCCAUUCUCCAGGCCCUCCUCUUCUACCUGGUGUUUUCAUGCCGCCGUUUCCUGGACCUAUGGUGUGGCCUGGAGCAGGAGGUGUUGAUGUCAACAUGCUCUCUGUUCCACCUAACCUUCACAUCCCUCCUCCAGUUGCUGGCGAGCAUAGGUUCACUCCAAGUAUGGGAGCUGGACCUGUUCAUAAUGUUCACUUAAAUCAAAUGGGCCCAGGAAUGGGUACUCCAACGAAUAUGUCAGGAUUGGGUUUUAACCAGAUGAGCACACAAAAUCGUGAAAUGGCACAUGAUAAGCCAUCUGGUGGUUGGGUGCCACAUAGGCAUGGUGCACCGAUCAGAAAAGCUCCUUCAAGGGGUGAACAGAAUGAUUACUCUCAGAACUUUGUGGACACUGGCAUGCGACCUCAAAACUUCAUUAGAGAAUUGGAUCUUACAAGUGUAGCGGAGGACUAUCCAAAAUUGAGAGAACUCAUACAGAGGAAGGAUGAAAUUGUUACUAACGCUGCUUCACCACCGAUGUAUUUUAAGUGUGAUCUACGGCAACAUGUUCUUUCUCCAGAAUUUUUUGGUACAAAGUUUGAUGUUAUUCUUGUGGAUCCACCAUGGGAAGAGUAUGUUCAUCGUGCACCAGGAAUAACAGAUCAUAUUGAAUAUUGGAAUGCUGAGGAGAUUAUGAAUUUGAAGAUUGAGGCUAUAGCUGAUACCCCCUCUUUUCUCUUCCUUUGGGUUGGUGAUGGCGUAGGUCUUGAACAAGGCCGUCAAUGUUUGAAGAAGUGGGGAUUUCGUAGGUGUGAGGAUGUUUGCUGGGUGAAAACCAACAAGAAAAAUGCAUCAUCAGGUCUGCGACAUGAUUCUCGUACAUUGUUGCAGCAUUCAAAGGAGCAUUGUUUGAUGGGUAUAAAAGGAACGGUACGCCGUAGCACUGAUGGUCAUGUCAUCCAUGCGAAUAUUGACACUGAUAUAAUAAUAGCUGAAGAACCCACUGAUGGUUCAACGAAGAAACCUGAUGACAUGUACAGGAUCAUUGAGCAUUUUGCUCUUGGAAAGAGGCGCCUUGAACUCUUUGGCGAGGAUCAUAACAUUCGGCCUGGCUGGCUUACUCUUGGGAAAGACUUAUCAUACUCCAACUUCAACAAAGAGGCGUAUAACAAGAACUUCGCGGACAGCGAUGGGAAGGUGUGGCAGGGAGGCGGCGGUCGGAACCCUCCCCCUGGCGCUCCGCACCUGAUCGUGACGACUCCAGAGAUCGAGGGGCUCAGGCCCAAGUCACCCCCGCCGAAGAACUGA
rnacentral:rRNA from 1 species